rnacentral:rRNA from 1 species
AGAGUUUGAUCCUGGCUCAGAUUGAACGCUAGCGGGAUGCCUUACACAUGCAAGUCGAACGGCAGCACGGACUUCGGUCUGGUGGCGAGUGGCGAGCGGGUGAGUAAUGUAUCGGAACGUGCCCAGUAGCGGGGGAUAACUACGCGAAAGCGUAGCUAAUACCGCAUACGCCCUACGGGGGAAAGCAGGGGAUCGUAAGACCUUGCACUAUUGGAGCGGCCGAUAUCGGAUUAGCUAGUUGGUGGGGUAACGGCUCACCAAGGCGACGAUCCGUAGCUGGUUUGAGAGGACGACCAGCCACACUGGGACUGAGACACGGCCCAGACUCCUACGGGAGGCAGCAGUGGGGAAUUUUGGACAAUGGGGGAAACCCUGAUCCAGCCAUCCCGCGUGUGCGAUGAAGGCCUUCGGGUUGUAAAGCACUUUUGGCAGGAAAGAAACGUCGCGGGUUAAUACCCCGCGGAACUGACGGUACCUGCAGAAUAAGCACCGGCUAACUACGUGCCAGCAGCCGCGGUAAUACGUAGGGUGCAAGCGUUAAUCGGAAUUACUGGGCGUAAAGCGUGCGCAGGCGGUUCGGAAAGAAAGAUGUGAAAUCCCAGAGCUUAACUUUGGAACUGCAUUUUUAACUACCGAGCUAGAGUGUGUCAGAGGGAGGUGGAAUUCCGCGUGUAGCAGUGAAAUGCGUAGAUAUGCGGAGGAACACCGAUGGCGAAGGCAGCCUCCUGGGAUAACACUGACGCUCAUGCACGAAAGCGUGGGGAGCAAACAGGAUUAGACACCCUGGUAGUCCACGCCCUAAACGAUGUCAACUAGCUGUUGGGGGCCUUCGGGCCUUGGUAGCGCAGCUAACGCGUGAAGUUGACCGCCCUGGGGAGUACGGUCGCAAGAUUAAAACUCAAAGGAAUUGA